UGGGGGGAUAUUGCACAAUGGAGGGAACUCUGAUGCAGCGACGCCGCGUGAGGGAAGAAGGUCUUCGGAUUGUAAACCUCUGUCUUCAGGGACGAAGCAAGUGACGGUACCUGGAGAGGAAGCCACGGCUAACUACGUGCCAGCAGCCGCGGUAAUACGUAGGUGGCAAGCGUUGUCCGGAAUUACUGGGUGUAAAGGGUGCGCAGGCGGGUUGUCAAGUUGGAUGUGAAAUCUCCCCGGCUCAACUGGGAGGGGUUGCAUUCAAAAACUGGCGAUCUUGAGUGAGGUAGAGGCAGGCGGAAUUCCCCGGUGUAGCGGUGAAAUGCGUAGAUAUCGGGAGGAACACCAGUGGCGAAGGCGGCCUGCUGGGCCUUUACUGACGCUGAGGCACGAAAGCAUGGGUAGCAAACAGGAUUAGAUACCCUGGUAGUCCAUGCCGUAAACGAUGAUUGCUAGGUGUGGGGGGUCUGACCCCUUCCGUGCCGGAGUUAACACAAUAAGCAAUCCACCUGGGGGAGUACGGCCGCAAGGUUGAAAACUCAAAU
rnacentral:rRNA from 1 species